GCCUGUGGGAUAACUAUGGUUAAGGAACUCGGCGAAUUUCCUCCGUAACUUCGGGAUAAGGAGGACCCCAGUAGCGUGACGAGACUUGCUCUCCGAGCGUGAAGGGGUGGCACAAAAUUGAGGGAAGCGACUGUUUACCAAAAACACAGCAGCGUGCUAAGCCGUAAGGCGCUGUAUACGCUGUGACUCCUGCCCGGUGCUGGAAGGUUACGGGGAUGGGUUAGUCCUUCGGGACGAAGCUCUGAACCUAAGCCCCAGUAAACGGCGGCCGUAACUAUAACGGUCCUAAGGUAGCGAAAUUCCUUGUCGGGUAAGUUCCGACCUGCACGAAUGGAGUAACGACUUCCCUACUGUCUCAACCAUAGACCCAGCGAAAUUGAAGUACGAGUAAAGAUGCUCGUUAGCUGCAGAAGGACGGAAAGACCCCGUGGACCUUUACUAUAACUUGAUGUUGUGUUUUGUCAUAUGUUGUGUAGGAUAGGUGGGAGACAAGGAAGCAUGGACGCUAGUCUGUGUGGAGUCAUCGUUGAAAUACCACCCUGCAUAUGGUGAGGCUCUAACCUAGACCCGUUAUCCGGGUUGGGGACAGCGUCAGGCGGGUAGUUUAACUGGGGCGGUUGCCUCCUAAAGAGUAACGGAGGCGCCCAAAGGUUCCCUCAGCCUGGUUGGCAAUCAGGCGUCGAGUGCAAUGGCAAAAGGGAGCUUGACUGCGAGACCUACAAGUCGAGCAGGAGCGAAAGCUGGGCAUAGUGAUCCGGCGGUUGCGUGUGGAAGCGCCGUCGCUCAACGGAUAAAAGGUACCCCGGGGAUAACAGGCUAAUCUUGCCCAAGCGUCCAUAGCGACGGCAAGGUUUGGCACCUCGAUGUCGGCUCAUCGCAUCCUGGGGCUGAAGCAGGUCCCAAGGGUUGGGCUGUUCGCCCAUUAAAGCGGUACGCGAGCUGGGUUCAGAACGUCGUGAGACAGUUCGGUCCCUAUCCUCUGUAGCCGUAGGUGAAUUGAGGAAAGCUGUCCCUAGUACGAGAGGACCGGGACGGACGCAGCUCUCGUGUGCCAGUUGUCCUGCCAAGGGCAUGGCUGGUUAGCGACCUGCGGAAAGGAUAACCGCUGAAAGCAUCUAAGCGGGAAGCCUCUUCCAAGAUGAAUUCACCCACAGGGUUAACCUGGUAAGGCCCGUGGUAGACCACCACGUUGAUAGGCCGGAAGUGUAAGCGUGGCAACACGUUCAGCUGACCGGUACUAAUCGGCCGAGGGCUUGAACC
rnacentral:rRNA from 1 species